CGCGGGUUUCGGUCACGAGCAGAAACGUCCUGCGAGCAAAGCGCCCCGGACCGCCACCGAGCCGCAGCCUGUGCGGCUUGCACUGCGUCUGGAAGGAGAUCCAGGCUGCGCAUCCACCUCCGGAGCCGCGAGACGAGCACUGGUGAUGGCAAGGUGAAGCUGUUUAUCAUGGGAAGUAAGGAAGAAUUUCUGAAGUGGCAGAGGAACUGUGCAACUCUCCUAUAACUGUUGAUGCUGAUGCCCCUGAUAACUCUGGAGUUUGGUGUCUGGUACACCUGUGGAUACCCGGCCAAACCUUCCCCCCAAGGAGAAGGAUGAUAACCAUCUCUGUCUACCACCAUGAGAGGUGGAAGGGGUCACAGCUGGCCCCAAAGCAGCAGGGAUUUCCUGCAGGCCAACAAAACAGCCAGAAACAGCACUGCCAAGUUCCCUAGAAAUCCAUGCAAGGAGGGAACCCAGUACAUCACCAUCCUCGGCCACUCUUUACCUACACUAAACAACCCGAGGACCCCACUGCUUCUGCAAAGGACACAGCUUUCCUGGGAAUAAGGGCUGUGCUGGAAAAACUUUCAGGGGCUAAGGGAACUGGACAAGCUCAUCACAUACCCCCCAGCAUCAAGAUCAAGCCCAUGCACUGCUUACUUCUUUUCACCUUGCAAGUUUGCCCUGGCAGCAGAGCUUGGGGAAAGCACAACUGUAAUGAAGAAAAAUCACUGCCUUGGCCAUGUAGUGGCAAACUGCCAUUCUUCAAAGUUAUUUUCGUCUCUCCCGGGUCACCGAGUCUGUCAGAAGUUAAUCAGCAUUUCCAGACCAGGCUGUGCAGUGAGAGACACCUCUGGCAGCACGGACAGGAGUGUGCAGCCCUCUAGUGCCCGCUGUCAGCCACGGUACUGCCACAGUGGCCCUGCAGAGCUGCACAGCUCCCACCUCUGCCGUGGGGACCUGCCACUCCUGAAUCUGCUCCUGACAGGCAGCAGGUCACAGGCUUUGCACCCUGAGA